UACGUAGGGGGCUAGCGUUGUCCGGAUUUAUUGGGCGUAAAGAGCGUGUAGGCGGCCAGGUAGGUCUGCUGUGAAAACUCGAGGCUUAACCUCGAGAUGUCGGCGGAAACCAUCUGGCUAGAGUCCGGAAGAGGAGAGUGGAAUUCCUGGUGUAGCGGUGAAAUGCGCAGAUAUCAGGAAGAACACCCGUGGCGAAGGCAGCUCUCUGGGACGGUACUGACGCUGAGACGCGAAAGCGUGGGGAGCGAACAGG
rnacentral:rRNA from 1 species